UACGUAGGGGGCAAGCGUUGUCCGGAUUUAUUGGGGUUAAAGGGUCCGUAGGCGGAUCUGUAAGUCAGUGGUGAAAUCUCACAGCUUAACUGUGAAACUGCCAUUGAUACUGCAGGUCUUGAGUGUUAUUGAAGUAGCUGGAAUAAGUAGUGUAGCGGUGAAAUGCAUAGAUAUUACUUAGAACACCAAUUGCGAAGGCAGGUUACUAAGCAACAACUGACGCUGAUGGACGAAAGCGUGGGGAGCGAACAGG
rnacentral:rRNA from 1 species